UUUAUCAAAAACAUCGCCUCUUGCAAACUGACGAAUAAGAGGUCCCGCCUGCCCGGUGACUAUUAGUUUAACGGCCGCGGUAUUUUGACCGUGCAAAGGUAGCGCAAUCACUUGUCUUUUAAAUGGAGACCUGUAUGAAUGGCAUAACGAGGGCUUGACUGUCUCCUUUUUCCAGUCAAUGAAAUUGAUUUCCCCGUGCAGAAGCGGGGAUGACUACAUAAGACGAGAAGACCCUAUGGAGCUUUAGACACUAAGACAGACCACACUCAGAACGCCCAAACAAGGAAUAAAAACCAAGUGGCCCCUGUUCCUAAUGUCUUUGGUUGGGGCGACCCUGGGGAAACAAAGAACCCCCAUGUGGAACGGAAAUACUCUUUCUUAAUCCAAGAGCUACCCCUCUAAGAAACAAAACUUUUGACCAACUUAGAUCCGGCAGCGCCGAUCAACGGACCAAGUUACCCUAGGGAUAACAGCGCAAUCCCCUUUUAGAGCCCAUAUCGACAAGGGGGUUUACGACCUCGAUGUUGGAUCAGGACAUCCUACUGGUGCAGCCGCUAUUAAGGGUUCGUUUGUUCAACGAUUAAAGUCCUACGUGAUCUGAGUUCA
rnacentral:rRNA from 1 species